UUAUGGUCACAUAAGCUAAAAAACAAAAACACUAAACACAUUUUUUAGUUAUUAAACUCUUAAUUCAGCAGGUUCUGGAAAAUAACUUUCGCAGUAAUCUCUCUUUGCUGCAUAUCUGAAACAAACGAUUGAUUGGAUUGAUAUAAGCAAUACAGAAAAAAUAAUACUUGAAUAAACAGUUUUAUCGAA
rnacentral:lncRNA from 1 species